CAGCAGCCGCGGGAAUACGAAGGGGGCUAGCGUUGUUCGGAAUUACUGGGCGUAAAGCGCACGUAGGCGGAUACUUAAGUCAGGGGUGAAAUCCCGGGGCUCAACCCCGGAACUGCCUUUGAUACUGGGUAUCUCGAGUCCGGAAGAGGUGAGUGGAAUUCCGAGUGUAGAGGUGAAAUUCGUAGAUAUUCGGAGGAACACCAGUGGCGAAGGCGGCUCACUGGUCCGGUACUGACGCUGAGGUGCGAAAGCGUGGGGAGCAAACAGGAUUAGAUACCCCCGUAGUCCCUGUCUCUUAUAC
rnacentral:rRNA from 1 species